CAGUCGCCGCGGUAAUACGUAGGGCGCAAGCGUUAAUCGGAAUUACUGGGCGUAAAGGGCUCGCAGGCGGUUUCUUAAGUCUGAUGUGAAAGCCCCCGGCUCAACCGGGGAGGGUCAUUGGAAACUGGGAAACUUGAGUGCAGAAGAGGAGAGUGGAAUUCCACGUGUAGCGGUGAAAUGCGUAGAGAUGUGGAGGAACACCAGUGGCGAAGGCGACUCUCUGGUCUGUAACUGACGCUGAGGAGCGAAAGCGUGGGGAGCGAACAGGAUUAGAUACCCCAGUAGUCCCUGUCUCUUAUAU
rnacentral:rRNA from 1 species